rnacentral:rRNA from 1 species
AUGACACACAAUAUGGUUGAAAUGGCAAGGUCUGGACAGAGGUUUCUUACUGUGUAUUAUGAUCAUGGGCCCAAUGUGGUGGGGAAUGACAUGGACGAUGUCGUGAUAUAUCCCACUGCCGAGCUGCCUCCUGUCAUCAGUCCUCAAAAGCCAAGGAAUCAUAUGCACUCAAGUCCUGAAGAGAAGCCAGAAAGCCAGAUUGAUGAGGCAGAAAGUCAGCUUGAUGAUUCUGAUAGUAAUGAGAAGGUUGGCAGUGAGAAAGAUUCAGAUGAUCCGGAUUAUGAUGCCAUAGUUGAUAGUGACUAUGGUCUUGAAGAUGGCAAUAUUUGUGAUGAUGACUUUGACGAUUUUGCUGAUAAGAAGGGGAAGACAAAGUUAGCUGAAGAAGAACAAUCUGGUGAAGAAGAGCUCAAGUACCCAGAAUCAGAUGAUGAUGGACAAAUCAAGUUUAAUUUCAAAAUUUUCAGAGAAUGGGAUAUGAGUAGUCCAGUGUUCACUGUUGGACAAAAUUUUCCCAUUGUUGAUGUGUUGAGGACUUCUAUCAAGGAGUAUUCUUGCAAGGAGAGAGUAAACAUUAUGUUGAACCGGUAUGGGCCCUAG